rnacentral:rRNA from 1 species
UACGGGGGGAGCAAGCGUUGUUCGGAUUUACUGGGCGUAAAGGGCGCGUAGGCGGCCACCGCAAGUCGACUGUGGAAAUCUCUGGGCUUAACCCAGAAAGGUCAGCCGAUACUGCGGGGCUAGAGUGCAGAAGGGGCAACUGGAAUUCUCGGUGUAGCGGUGAAAUGCGUAGAUAUCGAGAGGAACACCUGCGGCGAAGGCGGGUUGCUGGGCUGACACUGACGCUGAGCGCGAAAGCUAGGGGAGCGAACGGG